ensembl:lncRNA
AAGUUCAAAAUGAAAUAGACACCAAAGAACCCCUAUCCAAUGGGAGCCUAAAAUAGUCCUGUGGAAAUGGGCUGGUGACCGGAGGAGGUGUUUAAGCAACCAAAUGCACCUGGAUCAGAGCUGGUAGAAAUGAACAAGACAACAAGCAGCAAGAAAAAAAUAAGAAACGUUUACAUUUUACAUUACAAUUUUGCAUCUAAGUGUGUCUUCCAAACCACAAAGCAUUUCAUUGGUUAUUGAUCCCUAAAUGACUCCCGGUAGAACAGGAUUGGAGGCUUUACAAAAGAGUUUGACAAUGGUUCCUUGUGGUUUCCUGCUUGUUUUAACACUACUUGCUUAGGCUUCCGUAUUUGUUUGUGGGUUACACCCCCUUACGGUUUGACCUGCAACCGGAUCUGUGAGUCGCAGGUAUUGGGAAAGCCCUGGAUUAGACAUUUGAAGGGGUGACACCCUGGGACACAAACAAUUACAUGAAAAUGAUCUCAGCCUACAGGGAUCCAGGUUCUGAAAAAAAGAAACAAUACUGAGCCAUGUAUAUGAAUCUAUGUGGUGUGAUAUUUACCUACAGGCUACUACAUAAACUGUUAUGAAUUGUAUUUCCAUUGUACUGAAAUUAUUGUGGCCAAAUAUUUAAAUUCAACAUGGCCAUAUGUUUUUAACCUAACUCUUUCGUGUUUGGACCACUAUCGAGAUCACUUGAAGACGUACUGCUUUGUCACAUUAUAUGCAAUUUGUUAAUUACAAUUUAAUGAUUUGUAAGUUGUCUCCUCAUCAAUGAUGCAGCCAUGAGAAAAAGGUUCGCGUUGCAGGCCUUCUGUGUGAUAUCUACCUGGCCAACCGUGUCGUGCUCAAGACGCACACAUUUUGGGCACCUUACCAAAUGUGCAUUGUAACAGCACCUGGCACUACAAACUGCUCAAUAGCAAAAUGAGCAAAACAAAUAGACCCGUAAGUCAUGUGGUCACCUUGCCUCACUGCGACACUCCCAUUGUAAAUACUCAUUAACACUCACUCUGCUCAGCCUUUACACUCCCUGCAUGCUCUAUUCCUAAUAAACCUACUUGGGCUAUUUAGUCUAUAUUAUGAUUUUAAGCUGUAUUAUUUUUAUAUUGAAAACAUUUAUGGUACGUCCUGUGAAUUAUGGACACAUAUCACACACUUGGUUCGUAAUCUACAGCCGGCUUCCGGUAUUCCAACAUGUUCAUUGGCCUCAGGCUAUUCGCCAGACGUGUUCAGAUGCUUGAUGCUUUUAACCACUAAUCACGUGCAAAAUGAUGUCGGAUUAAAAGAAGAAAUUGGAGAUAACCCAACUGACUUUACUGGCAUUUUUUUGUUGUUUUUGUCUUCCACUAGCAACAGAUUUAAGUUUAACAUUAUCUGAACAUUCAUCUAUAUAGCAACUUUCUUUUUUUGAAUCAAUGUGGAACCGCAGAUGGACGGAGUGAAACAUGAGAGCUAAUUUCUCUUACUAACAAAGAGGUUGAAUGGUCCCAUAGUGUGAACACCAGCCGGCCUUAAGUCAAUGCCGCUUAGAAAACACGCUGCAACGGAACACGGCAGAUUUGUGGCAGGGAGUGUUUGCAGCCAGAUUUUCAUUGACAUCACGAUAAGUUCCAUUCAUUCUGUGACAGAGAAAGAUAAAAGCCUGAGUCAAUAGUCCUGCCAGUGGAUGUGACAGAUGUACACACGAGUAUAUGGACGCGCUUUGGGCCAAAAUAUCUGGGACAUACUAGAAGAUGUGUGUGUGUUUUACAGUUAGACUCAUUUCAGUCAGCUGUCAUUUCCAGUAAACUCCACUAAGCUGGUAUGUAAAACUUCAUACGCAAUGCUGUAUCAUUUUCCCUCAUUCUAUGUAACACCUUUAAAGCCUAAUAUUGAAUAAAGCUGUGACAAUAACAUUUA